UCACCAUUACUAAUGGUAUGGUCCUCAGCAUCAGGUCCUUUUUGUCCCCCACUGGUCUUCUGAGCAGAACUGACGCAGCUUCAUCUCAUUCCUGAUGCAUCCUGAGCCCCUCAGUGCCUUGCUACUGCGUCAGUUCCUUAAACUGGACCAAAUGGGUUGAAAAUGGACAGAAAUUGAUCUUGAUCACUUUAGAUAUUUUAUGACAAAGAAAAAAAAGUAAUUUCUGUUCAGUUAAAAAUCCAUUUGAGCCAGUUUAAGGUGAUUGCGCAGAGCUGGAGCCUGAGGUCGGUAAAGCCAGGAAGAUGGCUGAAGACUAUGCUGACUCAAGCCCAGACAAGGAUCCAGAUUCCCUUCCUCCUUGACUUCACCUGGACCUGUGGCGACUAGAAGCCUUGAGAUGUGAUGAGAAAACGGAGGCUCAGAGAGGUCCCAUGAUUUGUCCAAGGCCAUAAAUCUUCUUUACCACGAGGCACAGAAUCGGCUCUAGAAGUGUUUCAGAAAAUACUGCCCCCAUUUUGUGGUCUGGAGAGAUCCCUGCUAGUCAUCGGCUUCUGGCUUCCCUGUUAUCCUGCUGCCCCACAGAAUGCAGCUACUAAGUGGCCUAAGAGCCAGCACCUUCAUGGAGUGGUGAAGAAGAAAGGCCAUUUGAGGACACAGUGAGAAGAUGAUGAUUAUCUCCAAGCCAGGAAAAGAAGCCUCAGCAGAAACCAAUCCUGACAGAGAGUUUGGGUUUUCAUCCUCUACAACUGUGAGAUAAUGAAUGUGUUGUUUACAGCACACAAUUUGUGAUAUCUUGUUGUGACAUACCAAGGUGUCUAAUCUAACUCUUCCUUAAUAUUGGAAAUGUUUCUUAGAAGCAAAUGAUCUUUGAAAAUGGUAAAGCCAUCUGUAUUUGAUAUUCUUAUUUCCCCCUUUCCACCAUCAAGACAUUUAAAACUGGGAUAGGUACUUACACUGUAUGCCUGGGACUCAUUUCUCUUUAGUUUUUAGCAUUUGAUUUCCAACAUCAUGGCUAAGGUCUGACAAAUCCUGAUUUGGCAAUACACUACAGAGAGAAUGAAGAGAAAGGAAUUGUCCCAGAUUUCAGUCAGAAGAGUAUUCUAAGCUUGGGUAGUGAUGAUGGAGCACUCUGACCUGUGUGGCACCAUUGGUUUAAAGACUUUAUUUUUACUAUUCUUUAGAUCACAGUUUGGAACUGAGUUAUAGAAUAGAGUUAUCUCCUUAUUCUCUCCAUUUGGUCUUUCUUCCCUAGCUAAUUCCAAAGUAUGCAAGCUAUACACUUUCUAGCUUUUUUCCUUCAUAGCCAUUAUCUAGGCACCACAAACAGAGAUGGAAAGAGACAGGUUUAAUCCAAAGCACCAGUUUCCAUUACCUUAAGCUGCCUCAAUGAUUUUUCUGAUGGGAUGAAAUUUCUUGCACUUGGUCCCAGGCCCAAGGUAUAUGCAAUGCUUCAAUGAAAUUGCUUGCGACACAUUGAAGUGAGUGCCUGGGAACUAUGAGUUUGUCGAAUAUUUUUUAAAAGACUCAGAACUUCUUGUACAGGCACUGAACUAAGGAGGGGAUAGCUUUCAAAGUUUUCACUUGCCGUGGAGAGCUACCCUGCUAUGGAAAGUGUUCUGUUCUGUGAAGGACACAAAGAUACAUAUUCAUAGGCUAUGUCAGAGAGAGUGUGUUCCACAGGUUUCAUGUGAAGUCCUCCACAUUUUGGUGCCAAUCUCCCCUCUCCAGUCUAAUUUCCUGUUACACUUCCUACUUCAGUUGAGUUCCUUAUUUGUGUCUUUGCAGUUCAGUUGUUGGACCAUAUAGUAGGCCUCGGGGCUAAAAGACAAGGCUUAUUUACAGGCCCUUCUUCCAGACACCCAGGAGCUCAGAGGCUCAGAGGAGUCUUUUAAAGUAUCUCAUGUGGUUAACGGAAUUGUAGAAGCUUGCUUCACAUAAUAGAGAAGUUGUGCACGAUGGGAUUCCAUUUAUGUCAUCCAUAUAGAAGGAAUAAAGACCAGGGAUAAGGCUUCUGCCACACACAGUACUAAGUCCUAUGAUAGAGCUCUCUUGUGUGGGGUUUGAGCAAUUCACUUUUUGGAACAUACGCAGGUAUAAUAUGACUUUUCUGCUUCACCAUAGGGAAGAGUUUAGGAAACUCAAAAACUGAGAUACAAUCGGCACUGUAUUUUCUCUCAGCAGUAAAUCUUUGUUCCUGAGCAAGAUGUUUGGUUCUCAUAACGAUGUUCAGAAAUGUGUGGAAAGUGCUAACAGUCCAGCACACACAUAUGCAAAAGUCUUACCUUUAAUCAUCUGGGAAUAACAGGUUCCCAUGUUCUACCCGUUUCCCUUUAUGUCCACAUUGACAGGAAGAUAUUUGGUGUAAUGGAGAUGUGGAUGUUCCAGAUGAGAAAAGAGAAAGAUGUUGAGGAAUGUGUGUUGAGGGCUACUGCAUAUCAAGGGGACUUGAGAUGAUGGCUAUUCUGACUUUGGCGCUGUGCCCUGUUGAUAGUGGGUCCCGUUCCUCCAGGGAUUUCCAAAGCAAAAUUUAGGGACAAAAUGCAAAGAUUAAGGGAUAGAAAGGCUGCUCCCCAAAUUGAAGCUUGGUGUUUGGAAAAGAAUAUUCAUAAGGACACGAUAAGGCACAUAAAUUCUAGUCUUAGAUCUGCCCUUGGCUUGUGCUCUGACCUUCGGCAAGCCACUUCAUAUUUUUGGAUCUCAGUUUCUUUCUAUCUUAAAGAAAGUGUUUGGAGGCCAGAUGUGGUAGUGUAUACCUUUGAUCCCAGCAUUCAGGAGACAGGUGGGUUUCUGUGAGUUGAGGCUAGUCUAUGAAGUGAGUUUCAGGACAACCAGGGAUACAUAGUAAGACCCUAUCUCAAAAAAUGUCAAGAGUGGUUUUAGGCUGAUGCUAUUGCUCAGUCAGCAGAGUAGUUUCUAUCACCAAAACCACCUAUACAAAGCAUGGUGGUACAUGUCUGUCUGUAAUCCUAGCUCUUGGGUGGUAGAGGAAAUCUUGAAUCAGAAGUUCAAAGUCACCAUCAGCUAUAUUUUGAGUUUGUGGACAGCCUGGGAUAUAUGAGACUCUAUCUCAGAAACAAACAAAAGAUCAGUUUAUCUCUGAAGUGUCUUCAUACACUGACCUUUAGUAUAUUUUUGGUCCCUUGAGUUCUCUAGAGAAGGAGCAAGUGCCCAGACUGUUAAAUUUAGACUGGAAGUUAAAGAAUAUGAAAAGAAUAAAAGAAAAAUCUUUAAAGCACAAAACCACAACAUGUAUCAUGUUAUUGGUAUUCUACUCUGUGUAUUUCCCACAAUAAGUAUUUUGUCCUAUUGUUCCCAGGGAACAAUUGAAGUGUCUUGGGAAACGCAAUUUUCAUUGUUUCAGUUGUAUCUCCUAAAUUGCUUCAUUGAACCAGAAAAGAUUUCAGCAAGUUUUUCAACAAGAACCAGUGUCAAAUUUUUGUUUCAAAAAAUAUGGUCACCAUAACUCUGUAGCACUCACCUUAUCUUCCUUUCUAGGUUUUUCUCAUACAUACCAAAUUUUCCAUCUGUGUAAGUAAGUAACGCCCAAGAAAAUGGAAACUGAUUAAUAUAAUCUGUUGGGAUCAUCUGUUACUCACACAUGACAUGUGUUUGGAAAUAUAGAGUCAGUCAUUCUUUAAGACAGAUAUUAUAUGUAUUGUUAUUGCUUGCAAUAGAUGAAGAGACAAGUUAUGUUUCCCUCUUGUGACAUUCUAGAGAUAGAGGGCAGAAGAAACUGGGCAGCAGGGGAAAUUAGCAGGAGAAGCAGAAAGGCAGAAGUUUCAAAUAUCCAUUGUUUGCAGCCUGUGCUGAUAGUGAAUGGGAACCAGCAUGUUUGGAUUUAGGUAAAAGAACAUGUAAGCUAUGGCUGCCUGGACAUCUGUCUCUAGUCUUGACCUCCCUCCUGGGUCAUAGUUCUCAGUCUGGCACCCUAAGUGCAUUUCUCUUCUUGCCAAAACCUGUUCUUCUCCUGAUUUCACUGUCCCUGUUACUGGCAGUACUUUCUUCUUAUCAAUCACUAAAAAUGAUAAAGAUGGCAUUUACAUUUUUUCCCAUUACCCUGAUAAAUCUAGUCGGUGGCCAAGUUGUGGUACUAUUUCUUUACAGUUUCAUCUCACAAUGGGCAACCUCUUCCACAUUUCACCAAAGCAUCCUUUAGUAGACCCUCAUGACCCCUCAUCUCAAAUGUGUGAUUAACUCUUACCCGGUUCAUUUUCUCUAAACCUCAAUCAAUCAAUCAACACACACACACACACACACACACACACACACACACACACACACACACACACACACAACCUUUAGCAUUCCUUCCUCCGAAUUGUUAGGCUAAGUAUAUGGAGAGGUGAUUUUCAGGGUACAUAUGCAUUUUGCGUUGAGAGGGAAGAAUGGAUUGUUUUCUCAAGAAUAUUUGGAGGCAAUUUCAGAAGUUCAUAGUGACAUAAGGAAACACUUGCUCCUAAUUAAGAAUUGUGUUUUUGUCUUGAAGCACUUGCCCUGUAUGCCGUGCCUCUGAACUUGAAUGUUCCAUCAGGCCCAACACCUGUAGAUCUCCCUCCCCACAGCUGACUGAUAUUUUUUUACUUCUUUCUGUGCACACUUAGAACUGCUGGAUGCCUUCUUGUUGCUUUUUACCCCCAAGCCUCAUCUGAUCUUUCUCACAGAUGUUGGGGAUUCAGGGAUUCCCCAUAGGUUUGAGUGUCUCCUCCUUCAUUACUGGCCUUGGCCUCUUCCCACAGCCAUGUUUCCAUCACUCACAGGGACUUGGCCACAUGGCAGAUUUGCUGAUGGGCUCCUCAGCCAUCUCCCACAAACCCAGGCCAAGAGGUGACAUUCAAUCUAUCCUCAGUGUAUACCUCCAUCCUGCCAAAGCUGUAAAACUGUCUGGGAUUAUAGUCCCUUCCAGUUAUGUGCAUGAGGAGGCACUUUCCAAAGACAUUGAUCAAUUCCCUAAUGAUCUCAUGGCACAGCAGGUAGAGACCCUGUGGUUUGCAGCAAGAAAGCCAGACCAUAGCAACAAGUCCUUCAGGCUCAGUGCUCUGAAACUCUCUCAAGUCAUACGGCUUGAGAAGACCACUGGAUAUUUUGGAAAUUGUCCCAAACACAAUUAAAUAUUCAGGCAGAAGGGGAAAGAAUUGCUGGAAUACAAAGGGCCCAGCUCAAUGGGGGUUAUGGGGUGACCCAUCCAACUGGUGCUUCCAUCCCAGUCACCACAGAUCUACCAUCUCCUUCAGUGGGCCUGCUGGAGUCAGCCUUGUCUGCAUCCAGGGGCAGCUCUAGUGGGCUUGCCCAGUAUCCCAGGCAUGUGCAACACUUCCACCUAACUCAAACCACAUGCAGAAGAUCAUGUCAUACUUGGCGCAUAACCAAUCGAGAAAGGCAUCAGAGGGUGUCCAGACCUCAGCUUGUUUGAACAAAUGUUCAAAAAAACAUUUCUGAAGGGAUAUUCCAGAAAAACAUACUCACUCAAGGUCUUAAAACAGAUGUUCAGACUGUAGGAUUCAGUUGCUUUGCAGCUACUAUUAUCGCAUACAAUAAAGUGGGACCAAAUCAUUUUAGGCUUGAACUCGGGUGUAUGUUUAGCUUUCUUUUGCAUCUUUAUUGUUGGCCAUGGAAGGGUGUGUCCAAGGGGAGAACAUAAUGCUGAGAGGCAGCAUGCUAUUGUGAUUUACUCUCUGGCAGUAGAGUCAGGCAGGCAAAGGCUUUGCCCCCUGACUAGUUUGGUGUCUUAACCUAUCAUAGGCUCACUUUGUUUAGCUACAAAACUAAUGGCAACAUUGCUGAGUCACUACUUUUGUCAAGAGAACUAAAAUGUUACAUAUAUAGUGUAUACCAUGGAUUAAACACUGGGCCAGUACAGCUCUGUUGUCAACACUAUCACCUGCAGGACUUUACUAUUUACUAUUAUUAGCACUGCAGCUGCUGCUGCUGCUGCUGCUGCUGCUGCUGCUGUCUCUAGGACAGGAUCUAUUCCAAAAUCAGAUGGGGAGCUGAAGAGGGCCUCAGCUUUGUUUUUCUGGGCCAUAGAGAAGGUAAGCACACCAAGGACUAAGACUCAGGACAUCUAGCUUGAAAGGAAGGAAAAGAGAGCAGUGCAGAGUUCUUACAGUUUAUUUUCCUUAUCCCAGACCAAAGCUCUUCAUCUGUCAUUAGUGUGCUAUGUAACCUAGUUUGAGCCUCUUUAGAUAAUGGUGUUUCACUAGUUACCCUGUGGCACUUGUUUGCAGGUAAGCUGACCUGCAUCAGAGACCUAGUCUGGGAAUGGAAUGUGCCUAAGCAACUGAUCCCAAAGAGACAAGGACUAGCUUCGUUUAAUGGCUCUAAGCUACCCAGCUCACAGUCCCCAUGUAUGCUGUAGCCACCACCAGAAUCUUUGUAAGUACUGGCAAACAGUGAUAUCCUGGGCUCACUGUUAUGUAGGUGGAGACUGCUGGUCUGUUUCCUAGCUGCCCAGACCCAAAUAAUCACACGGAAACUAUAUUAAUUAAAACACUGCUUGGCCUAUUAGCUUAGGAUUCUUAUUAAAUAUCUCUUACACCUUAAAUUAACCCAUUCCCAUUUUUUUUUGUAUUUUACCACGAGGCUUGUGGUUUACCAGGAAGGUUUCAGGUUGUCUGUCUCCUUCGGUGGCUACAUGGCAUCUCCCUGACUCCAUCUUCUUUCUUCCUCUAUCUGCUUGGAAUUUCCACCUUACUCCAUUCUGCCCUGUCAUAGGUCAAAGCAGCUUUAUUCAUUAACCAAUAAAAGCAACACAUAUGCAGGACUUCCCACACCACUGCCAGAAUUAGAACUUUCCAUAUAGCUAUCAUUUGUAUUUCACUCCUCCAUUAAUACUUGCUGUGCCAGGAUAGCUAUUUUAUUUUACUCCUAUGCUGGGGAUAUGACACCAGGGACUUGUGUAUGCUAAGCAAGUGCUCUAUCACAGAGCUGCAUCCCAAGAUGGAUCCAUAGUAACUCUUUAAGGAAGUUUUUCUAUCUAUCCAUACAUCCAUUAGCACCUUCCCCCACAUCCACCCACCUACCAUUCAACAGGUAUUUAUUGUGCAAUGACAACAUCCAAAACAUGGCUGUAGGUGCUACCAAUAAGGCAUGGAAACUGCUGUUGUGAAGCUUACAGUCCAGCCACCUAGUCUGGCCAAACAUAGUAUGCCAUGAAAGUUCAUUGCAAAGUUUAGUCUGGACUUUUAGAACCAAUUUUAGUCAGUCCUUCUCAAGUGGACAUGCCUUUUAGGGUACUUGGGUAGAGAGUGAGGGACUGUCCUGCAUUCAUCCUGAGCAAAGAUUAUAAGGGAGGCCUGGGACAGGGCUUUAGUAACAAUGUGAUUGCAUUUUGAUUUCUAAGAUUAAUCUAGUUGAUACAAAUUGUGAACUUACUUUGUUGAAAGUAAAUUUUGAAAUGUGACAAAAACCAAUGUGAUUGUGUUAUUGUCUCACAAGCUGGCUCAGAAGGCAGUUCUCAGAGCAGGGUUUCAAAAAUACUCUCAACAAUGGCAACAUCAGAACAUAUCCUCAGAAGGACUAUUUCAGACAGUUCUGUACAUAUCUGAGUGUACAAAUCCUGAUCUAUUAAAAACAAACAUUGCUAGUACCUAAUUUAUUCAAAAAAGUAAAAAGAAAGAAAUGCAGACUUAAAUUCUUAAUUUAAUUAUUGAAAUAUUUAUGCACUAUAUGUUUGGAUUUAUGACUGUCAUACAAUUAAUUCAUUUUAAUGAAAGGAAUUUUUCUUUGCUCUUAGCUAUUUUUAGUCUGUUCAUGCAUAGUCUUCUGUAUGUGAGUCUUUGAAGUGAACAGCAUGGCUAUUUAGCCAUUGUCUUUUUAUAUAUAUAAAAGUAAAUUUUCCCAUUACAGAGCAGGCCUGCAGAAAUACUGCCUUCUACCUUAAAGCCAGUGUAUGAUCAAGUUAACUUGUAUUUCUUUUGCAGAAGAAUGUUAAAUCAGGAAU